CUAUACUAUAGGUGGACCGCAAUGUCAAAAUUGCUGUUCGGCCAUUGCUCGUGAAAAAACAAAUUUGUUUACAAAACAUAUCAUAUCUUUUGGUGACAAAUGCAUUCGUCGGCAAAAUAGCUGCUCGCGCUUUACUGUAGAUAUCUACAAUCAGCGGUCGAAUUAAAAACAGUGCAGAAGGAUGUUUUGAGUAUGUUUUAGCUUCUAGCCGCGCAUUCAAUGCUUUUUUUCCAAGCAAGAUGUACUUCUGUUUGGAUCCUAUCGGCGGGGAAAAAAGUACUUACGGCGACGGUGACAAGAAAUAGCGCUGAUUGCGAGAUUACCAGAUCCAGAAGAUCCGGAAGGGCUGUUACAAGUAAUUGGUUUUGCUAGAGCAAAAGGAGGUUGACAAUGAUUGCAACAGGUGAAAUAAACUGUUGGAAUCACGACUAUCGAUCACGCCAGAAGAUCCGGAAAGAGUUGUUGAAAGUAAUUGGUUUUGCUCAAAUGCUAGAGCACAAGGAGGUUGACGAUGAUUGCAACAGGAAAAUAAUCAGUAGCAGCUGGUAUGGCUUCUUAAACAAUGUUGAAUAAAAAAGCAGAACUACUGAAAAGUGUAAUCAAAAGCAAUCUUCACAGUCACUGUCUUCACUUCAGAAGACAGUAAGCGGGAUAUACUGGAUUAUUUAAUUUCAUUUACUUCAACGUGUAUUAGGACAUGAUAAAAAAUCUAGAGUAGAAAUUAGUCAUUAGGUACAUAUAAUCGUACAAAGGCAAAGGUUUUGAUUUACUUCAGAUUUUCCGAAUCAAUGAACUUAUAGAGGGCGUCGACGACCUUGAAAAACCUUGAAAAUUAGGGAAUUCAAACAAUGUCAGGAAAUUUCGUCACCAAUCUGGAAAAAAUCAAAUUCCGCGAAUUUGAAUUUUGAUUAUAGCUAUAAUUAGAAAUAUAAUGAUACCAAAAAAGUUGUAUUUGACUAGUUUGGCUCUCUUUAGGUUUUUCAGUAUAUGUUGUUUGCAUUUGCCUGUAAGUGAACUUAGUCCUUCCGAUGUGUAAACAGCGCAAAAGUAAAUGGCUUUUACAUUCGCGCUGUUUUUACUGUCAUUUGACAGCAGUAUCAGCUUCAAACAAUUCUCUUCCUUUUUUUUCUUCGAAUACUAUAGAUAAAUUCAUGCUCGAAAAUCAUCCAUGCUUGAGAUCCUGUAGUGUCAGGAAACAAUUAUGUGUCACAAAUCACUUCGCACAUGGUUCUAUUGAGAAAAAUGUUUCAUGAUAGCCAGAAAACUGAGAAGGUUUAACUAGGGCGUGAUAAAAAUGAGCUUUAUGAUGAUGUUUGGCUUUGCUCCGAAUUCUAAAUCUGAGCUCGAUGGAACUUUGCAAGUUAUACUUUAUCGUUGGUUUCACCCAGUCUUUGAACAAGACUACAAAGAGGCUGCAAAUAGAUUUGAACGUCAGGUUAUGGGAUGAAGAAGAGAAGAAGGUGGUAAAUCAUUAUGUGACGUCAAUGUUCUUGGGACAUUCUCAAGCAUCAGAUAUCAACUUGCAACUUUUAAAGAAGGCAUGGGAAUUAUAUAUUUGAACAAACUUCUUCUUGUGUCAGUAUCAACGUGAAUUAGUCAUAUUACGCGAACUGCAACAGGUCUUUCAAAAUGGCGAAGAAAAACUCUUGAAUUUGGGUAAUUUUGGAUUGAACAUUUUACACAGUUCAUCAAGGGAUUGAUUGGAUUAAAAACUCACCAGCUACGACAGAUAAAGCUUAAAAUUUCGUCUGGGAUGUGAAGCACUGGUUUCAACGCUUAUGAAGCGUUAAUGUAUUUUUUAUCUUUCCGUCAUUGAUUCCGAUAUAAAAUUGGAGGGAAAACGACUCGAGAAGUUUUUGACUAUUGAUAUUUGACGGAUUUUGAACGUAUCAGAGAAGCUCCAGCAGAUUUAUGAUUGCUAGCAACAAAAACAAGUUUGCUCACUAUGAUCUGAUAAAUGAACGACUGGAGCAUUUUUGGAAAGGAUAGGUUUACGGAAAUUUUUUCCAAAAAAUGGUCUUCUGUCUCUCGUGUGGAAACCCUAUCGUUGCGAGGGCUUUUCCAUUAAUAGCGAAUGUUUUUUAUGAAAACAUGUGGGAGGAAAGAGUUGUGCUAUGCGACAUGUUUAUGAUGCUAUACUUCACUUUGGAAGGACAGCAUUAAUAAAAAGUUGAGCUAGUCAAUUCAACUAGUUAGAAAUUCUCAUUUCCUUUAUCGUCAUAAAAAUCAACGUUAUUGAAACGGCUACGAAAAGCAGAAGCGAAAUCUCUAGAGGUAUAGCGAAGGAAAUUUUCAAAAACGCACGGAAGGGAGUCGAAAGAUUGCAAGAUAAAGCAUUUCGUUAAAAUCGUAACAGUUUUAUGAAAUUGAUCCGAUUAAAAAUGAAAAUGACUCAAUCUGUACUAGUGUUUAAGACUUCUUCAAGAUAACUUUGAACUGUAUUAUCCAUUUUUUAAAUCCUAUACGAAUCUUCUCAGUCGUCAUUUAACUCAGUUAAAAACAAUAAACAAUACAUUUAUUGGCAGAUAUCGAUAGACGUUCUUAAAUUUCAUUGUUUAGGCUAACUGAAUGUUUCAGGAACUACAGCUAGAAUAUUAGUAGAGAAUUUGGUUACUAGUCUACAUCAGGAAUUUUUCUGAAAAAUUACUGGAAAAUCAAGGAAUA